CACGCCGUAAACGUUGGGCGCUAGGUGUGGGGGCCAUUCCACGGUCUCUGUGCCGUAGCUAACGCAUUAAGCGCCCCGCCUGGGGAGUACGGCCGCAAGGCUAAAACUCAAAGGAAUUGACGGGGGCCCGCACAAGCGGCGGAGCAUGUGGAUUAAUUCGAUGCAACGCGAAGAACCUUACCUGGGUUUGACAUGCACUAGACGCGUUCAGAGAUGGGCGUUCCCUUGUGGUUGGUGUGCAGGUGG
rnacentral:rRNA from 1 species